rnacentral:rRNA from 1 species
GGCGGUCUGCUUAACACAUGCAAGUCGAACGGAGUAGAAAUACUUAGUGGCGGACGGGUGAGUAACGCGUGAGAAUCUGGCUUCAGGACGGAGACAACAGUUGGAAACGACUGCUAACCCCCGAUGUACCGCAAGGGAAAAUAUUUAUAGCCUGAAGAUGAGCUCGCGUCCGAUUAGCUAGUUGGAGAGGUAAAAGCUCACCAAGGCGACGAUCGGUAGCUGGUCUGAGAGGACGAUCAGCCACACUGGGACUGAGACACGGCCCAGACUCCUACGGGAGGCAGCAGUGGGGAAUCUUAGACAAUGGGGGAAACCCUGAUCUAGCCAUGCCGCGUGAUCGAUGAAGGCCUUAGGGUUGUAAAGAUCUUUCAGUUGGGAAGAUAAUGACGGUACCAACAGAAGAAGCCCCGGCUAACUCCGUGCCAGCAGCCGCGGUAAUACGGAGGGGGCUAGCGUUAUUCGGAAUUACUGGGCGUAAAGCGCACGUAGGCGGACUUGAAAGUUGGGGGUGAAAGCCCAGGGCUCAACCCUGGAACUGCCCUCAAAACUCCAGGUCUUGAGGUCGAGAGAGGUGAGUGGAAUUCCGAGUGUAGAGGUGAAAUUCGUAGAUAUUCGGAGGAACACCAGUGGCGAAGGCGG